rnacentral:rRNA from 1 species
UACGUAGGGUGCAAGCGUUGUCCGGAAUUAUUGGGCGUAAAGAGCUCGUAGGCGGUUCGUCGCGUCUGCUGUGAAAUCUCGGGGCUUAACUCCGAAACUGCAUUCGAUACUGCCGUGCUUGAGGACUGGAGAGGAGACUGGAAUUUACGGUGUAGCGGUGAAAUGCGUAGAUAUCUGGAGGAACACCGGUGGCGAAGGCGGCAUCCUGGACCAAUACUGACGCUGAGGAGCGAAAGCUAGGGGAGCAAACGGG